ACCCCCUUAGUAUACCCACCAGUACAAAUGACUUCCAAUCAUUAAGCCUUAGCACUUCUAAGAGGGGGUA
rnacentral:tRNA from 1 species